UACGAAGGGUGCAAGCGUUACUCGGAAUUACUGGGCGUAAAGGGUGCGUAGGUGGUUGUUUAAGUCUGUUGUGAAAGCCCCGGGCUCAACCUGGGAAUGGCAAUGGAUACUGGACAGCUAGAGUGCGGUAGAGGGUAGUGGAAUUCCCGGUGUAGCAGUGAAAUGCGUAGAGAUCGGGAGGAACACCAGUGGCGAAGGCGGCUACCUGGACCAGCACUGACACUGAAGCACGAAAGCGUGGGAGCAACGGG
rnacentral:rRNA from 1 species